GACCUACCAUACAACCCAGCCAUCCUACUCCUGGGAAUUUACCCAAACCAAAAGAAAUCAGCACAUGAAAGAGUUAUCUGUACCCCCAUGUUCACUGUAGCACAAUUUAUAAUAGCAAAGAUACGGAAUCAACCCAGAUGCUCAUCAACUUUUGAAUGGACAAAGAAAUUAUGGUAUGUAUACACUAUGGAGUACUACCCAGCUGUAAAAAAAUAAUGAAUUCUGUCUUGAACAAAACGGAUGCAACUGGAAACCAUUAUACUCAGAGAAAUAAACCAGUUCCAGAAAGACAGACAUCAUGUCUUCCCUGAUGCAAAGUAACUAAUAGUGUACUUGAAACAUGAUGUAUUGGAAGGAAAUGGACACUUUGAGGUUUGAUGAUGGUUUACAGCUCUUACCUCUUCUGUUGAGGAACAAUAUUUUUCCUUUUCUUUUUUUCUUCAUACUAUUUGUUGAAAUACUUAGUGUAGGGUUAACUAUAGGAUCAUUACGUAAACAGAAAACAGAUCUUUGUAAAAAUUAAGAGUGGGAAUGUGAGAGGCAAGAGGAGAAAGGGUUGGAGUGUGGGCAGGAGGGAUGGAAGGGGGGUGACACGUCACUAUGUUCCUAAAUCUGUAUACAUGAAAUACAUGAAAUUUGUAUAACAAAAUCGAAAAAAUAAACUUAAGAAAACUUAUUGGAAACUUAAGAUGUGUUGAAUUCUUGUUAAUUAGCCAGAUGUGUGGUUCUUUUGGGGAGGGGGUGUCAGAACAUCAGCUCCAUGAGAGGACCCUGUCCUCACCCUCGUAGCUGGGAGCAGAGGAGAGUCCCUGCUGCAGAGGCAGGAGAGAAUGCUGACCGCUGACCUUAAAGCAGGGAGGCCCUGCAGGGUGAGGCAGGUGGCCAGUGUAGCAGCGUCUCAGAGGCAGGGAGGCCCUGCUGGGUGAGGCAGGUGCCGGGUGUAGCAGCGUCUCAGAGGCAGGGAGGCCCUGCUGGGUGAGGCAGGUGCCGGGUGUAGCAGCGUCUCAGAGGCAGGGUGGCCCUGCUGGGUGAGGCAGGUGCCGGGUGUAGCAGCGUCUCAGAGGCAGGGAGGCCCUGCCGGGUAACGCAGGUGCCG